AGAGCUACAAACUAAAGUAGAUUAAGUAAAAAAAAAAUAAUAGUAAAUUUUAUUGUCGUCUUUAUCCUCAUUUGUUUUCAUAAUCUAUAUAUUCCGAAAGUUCAUGAAGUUUUUUAAUAAUUCGCGAAGAACUUAGCAAUAAUUUGUGAAUAAUUCGGAAAUGAAUUUUAUCAAAAAAUUUUGCAUUUUUUUAGCUGAAUAAUUUGGCGUACACGAAUUAUUCGCGAAUAAUAAAUCUAAUUUAAAAAUUCAUGUUUUAUUUCGAUAUUUUGGAAAUAAAUCCCAUAGGGACUAUUUUAUUCAGAUUUUCAAUAAUUCAUGGAUAAUUCGCAAAUAUUCGCGAAUUAAGUGACUAUGCUCACACAUAUUAUCACAUUAUAACUGCACCACUAGUUAACUUUAAUUGAGACAGUAGAAGCUUUGUUGCAAUACUUUAGAAAGUUUGAGUUGAGAAAUACAAAAAAUAAAAAAAAAAAAGGAGUUUUAAGGACUAAUGGUUCAAAUUUUCCAAAAAUAUGAAAACAAAUUCAGACAUGACAAUUUUCGAAGUUAAUUAAUUGAUUAUAAUAAUUACAAGAUUUUUUUUUUUCGAAAGGAAAAAAUUACAAAAUUUUUAUAAUUUAUUUUUAUUGUUUAAAGUUCAAAUAGCAAUAAUUGACCGGAGAAUAAAAAUUUUAUGAGCACCGUCCACAUAUAUUUUUGAGCUCGUCAAAUACUCUAUUGAGUGCUAUGGACUACCGCUGCAAAUGAAUUCAGGUUGGCGAAACUCUCAUCCCGAUUCGUCCCGAAUCGGUCAGUAAAUGAAGACUGAUAAAUGAAUUCCGAACAAUAAAUAAGGGAAUUUUUUCAAUCCGACACCAAUUCGAUCUGAAUUUACCCUGCAUGAAUAAGUAUUUAAAUUAUAAAACUUUUUUUGAUUUUUUUAAAAAUUAUUAUUUGAUUUGUAAAUGUCAGUUUUUUUAAAAAAAUAAAUGUGAUUCAAGAUAUAGUUGCUUUUAUGAUAUUUUUAUUACUUUUUAAAUUUUAUUUUAAAUUAAAAAAAUAAAAAAUUAAUAAUAUUUAGAAUAAAUUUAAAUAAAAAAAUGGGUUUGCGAGGCGAAUUGGAAGCAUAGCAGGAGGUGGAUAUGCAGGUGGGGUGUUUUUACCAUAGUUAGUUAAUUCGGAUUCGGCAAAAAUUUGGUACGGGUAUAAUUCGGAUAAAAUUCGUCUUUUAAUUUUUAAAUUCGUUAAAAAAUACGGUUAAAAAUCAGAUUCGGUAAUUAUUCGGAUACGUAAUUUAUACGGGUAUUAUACGUUCACCAAUUAAAAAUUCGGGAUCAAAAAUUCGGCUAUAUAUUAAAUAUAUAAUAAUUAAUAUACUAUAUAUAUUAUUAUUAUAAUUUUUAUAUAUAAAUUAAAUAUAUUCAUAUAUUAAUUAUAAACAUAUAUUAAUAAUAUAUAAGAUUUAUAUAUUUAAAAAUAUUAAUAAAUAAUUACAAAUUUAUAAAUAAAAUAUCAUAUAAAUAUUUUUAUAUAAAAAUAAAAAUAAAAUAAUAUAUAUAAUAAAUGAAUAUAUAUAUAUAUAUAUAUAUAAAAGAGAGGGAGGU
rnacentral:lncRNA from 1 species